rnacentral:lncRNA from 1 species
CUGCGUUACGUUGCCCUGCCAAGCUGCUUUGUUUCGAACGUAGUGUGGUGGAGAACGGCGGAGCUGGUUUUGGUGAAAUCAUGCUCACUGAGCGAGCCUGUACACGCGGUUUCCGCACUUUCGGGUCGACCGUAUUGGCCUCCUCCGAGGCUCUGGACAGGAAAAUUGAGGGACCAGCGCCCGAACUCGCGCGUUCGCUUAGGCCAUUCGCCUCAACAUUGUUAGAGCCAGUACCACUUACAGUAUUUUCGUUUGACAACAUGCGUGUUACACGGCUAGAAGCCACAUCGUUGGACUGACUGUCAACACCAGGUCUGAACGGUGCAGGCCCUGCAGUUUGUACUCGGGACUGUCGUCCUACGGCGGGACCGAAGGGCUGCCCUCUCUCCUUCAUGUUUGAAGGCACACUCGUGGAAGUGGUGGGAGAGUUGGAAGUUACAGGUCGCGCCUGGCAGUUCUCCUUACGGGUCCGCCUUGUUUGCGCAUCAGGAGGUUCACUAGGAGGAAACUGCUGGAAAAAAACGUUGGACCCGGCGCCCUUCAUUCUGGGAUGAAAGCGACUGGAUGGAAGGCAGUUCAGGGACUGCGUUACCCGAGACUGUCCCGUUCAUACAUUACGGCACAAACUUUCCAGAGCUACACUUGAUAUGGGAACAUCGAGCAACUACGCAGGCCAGGCGUUUUCACGCUUGGACUGGAUGCGUGGUCCGCUAGUUGUCCUUCGGCUCGUCCUUUUGAACAAAGAUUCAAUUGUGUGUGCUUUUUCGAACUCUUGGCCGAGCAAAAAAUCAUACUGCAAGAUAAGCGGCUUUGGGAUGAGGAUAGUGGCCCCUAAAACUACAUGCCGGAGUGAUGGUGGAUCGCACGCUCGCCGGAUUCGAAUGUGUCUGACUAGUAUAAGGAUACAUUUUCGGGGCCAGGACGAAGAAAGCGUUGACUGAGACUUUGUGCAGAGAGUAAGUGAUUGUCGUCCUUGCAGGAGUACUCUCGAAUAUCGAGUCUCAAUGCUGUUUGUACCCUGCAGAUCAGCUGUCUACGACACGUAGAGGUUCUCUCUGCGACAUGGAAGGAAGAUAACUACAACGUGUUUGCAUGCGCAGCGCUUUGUUUCCUAGCUACAAAACAUGGCAACAAAUCCAUUCGACUGAGACUGAAACAGGAGAAACCUUCAAACGCGAAUUGCGUCGGACCAGUCGCAUCGGCGAAAAGACGAGACAAGACGCGGAAGAACGGGGGCUCAACCCCGCCGUGGUCCGCAGAAUCUGGGAAAGUGCUCUACCAUGAUAUUGCAGCUAGCAGAAAGAGGUGCAUUGUUGUGCCUCAUUCGACAGUACCCACAGACUGGGUCGAAAUGGCCGCUGCAGCCUCGGUGACCGACCAAAUUGCGUGUCUUGUCAUUGUGGGUUGGAGCAGCAUUGAGAAGAGGGCGAAGCUUGUAACAUGCGUGAAUCAACAAUCGUUAGAGGAGACUUGCUCAAGAACCCAACAGGUACGACUAGUUGGUCUGCCGCCAUCCCUCUUCGUCACCGUUUCGAUCAACUGCUAUCGGAGUUUCGGAGUCCCCACACUUUGAGGGGCAAGAGAUAUGUACAGUUCUUAACCAUUUUCAUGAAGAAAAAAAUACCAUAUCUCUCCUUCUUGCCUGGUAAAUUUGGGUUGGACCGUCUUCCGUCAGUUUUCGAAGGAGUCGCCAUUUUUUUCGCUUUCUUUUCGAUGGGGGCUUCGAAUCGAUUAACACGACACAGUUCUGGCCAAGGGAAUUCGUGAGAACGUGACUACUUUGGCACCUUGAAGGCCUGCUGAUGACCGUGACAGAGGAAUCUGAACAUCGUAAAAAGUCUUAUUACAGUACAUCUCUCGCCAUGUAGUACCAACCAAAAAGGAC